rnacentral:rRNA from 1 species
UGGGGAAUAUUGGACAAUGGGCGCAAGCCUGAUCCAGCCAUGCCGCGUGAGUGACGAAGGCCUUAGGGUUGUAAAGCUCUUUUGGCGGGGACGAUAAUGACGGUACCCGCAGAAUAAGCUCCGGCUAACUUCGUGCCAGCAGCCGCGGUAAUACGAAGGGAGCUAGCGUUGUUCGGAAUCACUGGGCGUAAAGCGCACGUAGGCGGACUUGUCAGUCAGGGGUGAAAUCCCGGGGCUCAACCUCGGAACUGCCUCUGAUACAGCAAGUCUUGAGUCCGGAAGAGGUGGGUGGAAUUCCUAGUGUAGAGGUGAAAUUCGUAGAUAUUAGGAAGAACACCGGUGGCGAAGGCGGCCCACUGGUCCGGUACUGACGCUGAGGUGCGAAAGCGUGGGGAGCAAACAGGAUUAGAUACC